GAUGAACGCUGGCGGCGUGCCUAAUACAUGCAAGUCGAGCGAACGGACGAGAAGCUUGCUUCUCUGAUGUUAGCGGCGGACGGGUGAGUAACACGUGGAUAACCUACCUAUAAGACUGGGAUAACUUCGGGAAACCGGAGCUAAUACCGGAUAAUAUUUUGAACCGCAUGGUUCAAAAGUGAAAGACGGUCUUGCUGUCACUUAUAGAUGGAUCCGCGCUGCAUUAGCUAGUUGGUAAGGUAACGGCUUACCAAGGCAACGAUGCAUAGCCGACCUGAGAGGGUGAUCGGCCACACUGGAACUGAGACGCGGUCCAGACUCCUACGGGAGGCAACAGUAGGGAAUCUUCCGCAAUGGGCGAAAGCCUGACGGAGCAACGCCGCGUGAGUGAUGAAGGUCUUCGGAUCGUAAAACUCUGUUAUUAGGGAAGAACAUAUGUGUAAGUAACUGUGCACAUCUUGACGGUACCUAAUCAGAAAGCCACGGCUAACUACGUG
rnacentral:rRNA from 1 species